AGGAGAGUUUGAUCCUGGCUCAGGAUGAACGCUAGCGGCAGGCCUAAUACAUGCAAGUCGGACGGUAAAAUCACUUUCGGGUGGUUGAGAGUGGCGGACGGGUGCGCAACGCGUAUGCAACCCACCCCCGACGGGCGCACAGCCGGUGGAAACGCCGGGUAAUGCGCCAUGCGCACUUGGGGGGGCAUCCCCUCGGGUGCAAAGCGGCGACGCGGUCGGGGACGGGCAUGCGUCCCAUUAGCUUGUUGGCGGGGCGACGGCCCACCAAGGCUACGAUGGGUAGGGGAUCUGAGAGGACGGUCCCCCACACUGGUACUGAGACACGGACCAGACUCCUGCGGGAGGCAGCAGUAAGGGAUAUUGGGCAAUGGGGGGAACCCUGACCCAGCCAUGCCGCGUGAGGUAGGAAGGCCCUACGGGUCGUAAGCCUCUUUUGUCCAGGGACAAGGACGCGCACGUGAUGCACGUUUGAGGGUACUGGAAGAAUAAGCGUCGGCUAACUCCGUGCCAGCAGCCGCGGUAAUACGGAGGACGCGAGCGUUAUCCGGAUUCAUUGGGUUUAAAGGGUGCGUAGGCGGCCGUGCAAGUCAGCGGUGAAAGCCCGGGGCCCAACCCCGGAAGUGCCGUUGAUACUGUGCGGCUGGAAUGCGGUCGAGGCGGGCGGAACGUGGCGUGUAGCGGUGAAAUGCGUAGAUAUGCCACAGAACGCCGAUAGCGGAGGCAGCUCGCCAGGCCUGCAUUGACGCUCGGGCACGAAAGCGUGGGGAUCGAACAGGAUUAGAUACCCUGGUAGUCCCCU
rnacentral:rRNA from 1 species